rnacentral:tRNA from 1 species
AGGAAGGUCGCUCAAUUGGUAAGAGCAUUUGCAACAACGCGAAAGAAGUCGGUUCGAAUCCGACCAUCCUA